UGGGGAAUAUUGCACAAUGGGCGCAAGCCUGAUGCAGCCAUGCCGCGUGUAUGGAGAAGGCCUUCGGGUUGUAAAGUACUUUCAGCGGGGAGGAAGGCGAUAAGGUUAAUAACCUUGUCGAUUGACGUUACCCGCAGAAGAAGCACCGGCUAACUCCGUGCCAGCAGCCGCGGUAAUACGGAGGGUGCAAGCGUUAAUCGGAAUUACUGGGCGUAAAGCGCACGCAGGCGGUCUGUCAAGUCGGAUGUGAAAUCCCCGGGCUCAACCUGGGAACUGCAUUCGAAACUGGCAGGCUAGAGUCUUGUAGAGGGGGGUAGAAUUCCAGGUGUAGCGGUGAAAUGCGUAGAGAUCUGGAGGAAUACCGGUGGCGAAGGCGGCCCCCUGGACAAAGACUGACGCUCAGGUGCGAAAGCGUGGGGAGCAAACA
rnacentral:rRNA from 1 species